GGCAUCUACAAGAACUCAGCUUUUGGUGGUCCGUUCUCUUCUUCUCCAAGCCUGGAAUGAAGACACGGUGUAGGGCUCUGUUAUUUCGGUCUCUGAAAGCAGCUGAGCCACUAUCUGAAAGGACACGCCCACUUCCUGGGGUGCUUCUGGCUGUGUUUCCCCUAGUUUCUGACAGCUGCACCAUGGGAAACUCCGCUUCUGCAUUUCUCUUGCAUUUCUGGCAUCAGUCUGCUGCCACCACACCACUCUGUGGCU